rnacentral:misc_RNA from 1 species
AGAACAGUUAAAAACCGGAACAAAAAUCACUCAGACAAACAUCAAAUCUGUACAAGUAAACUCAACUGCCUACUCGAACGAUUAAUAUGUUGGGAGUCAACAAGUUUCCAACUCAAUUUUCGACUGGUAGGCUAACAAAUCUAUCGGCAGGAAUGGAUCAUGUCAAACUCUCCGUUUCUUAGAUGGAACAGUAGCUUCAGACCAUGACGAGGGCUUAAAUCCUCCAACCAACAGCUUUGAUGCAGCAGAAGCGUUUAUUUUUCUCCUCUUAGAUUCCAGCUCUGAAUGUUUAGAAGAGCCAGACGAUCCAAAGAUUGAACCAGAGUAAAUCAUGGCUCGUUUAUCUCUUCUGUUCUUAUCGAACUUAUGAGCAAAUUUAACACUUGCAGCAGUUGCAGCAUCUUCUGUAGAAGGAGGUAAUAGCCUAAUACCAAGUCCUACUUUCUUAGCAGCAGCCUCUUCUUCGGCAACUCUUUUCUUUUGACCCCUAAGUGUGGCUCGUAGAGCCUUGUUCAUCGCAUAAUCAUCUGAAUGUCUAGUAUCAGAUACUUGCUGAAGACGAACAAGUAAAGGCUCAGCUUUUUUCUUCUUCUUCAAGUCCUCCUCCUGGUGCUCAAGGCGAUAAAAAGGAUCCACCAACUUACUUUUAUCUUCAUCUACUGGGAGUACCAAGGUUUCAGCAUCUUCAGCAUCAUAGUCUUCAGUCUUCUUUUGAGCUCCACUAAUAAUAACAUAAGCACAGUUUUUUGGAUCUGUUUGAAUGACAAUCUCAUGCUUGCAGCAUGCAGAUUUCAUCGAAAAGCUCCAUAUCUUUGUGGAGUAAUAAUUCCCUACUUGCUUUUUCUCAGCAUUGAACCUCACACCCUUGGCAAUCAUCGACUCACAUCCCCCACACCAGAUAUUAAAUGGCAUCUCAAACCUUAUAAUUAAAAUGCCCUGGUCUAUCUUUCUUGCUCUCUCUCGGAGAGCAUGUUGACCACGGAACUUGUUCAGUGAACCCUUCUUGGGAGACCAUUCUGGAGGAUAGUAAAAGUUGUCUGCCCUAGCAGCUGCAAGUGAAGACAUUUUUUGAUCUUCAAAACUUCGUUUCUCUGAUCGAUCGUUUUGAUCCUUGAAG